rnacentral:rRNA from 1 species
UUUGACCUCGAAUGAAGUAGGAUUACCCGCUGAACUUAA